rnacentral:lncRNA from 1 species
CUGCCCAAUAGAAUAUGAACAGAAGUUACUAAAGUCAUUUUCAGGCCUGACCCUUAAAAACAACCCAGGCGAGGGCCAGGCGUGGUGGCUCACACCUGUAAUCCCAGCACUUUGGAGGCCGAGGUGGGCGGAUCAUGAGGUCAGGAGAUCGAGACCAUCCUGGUUAACAUGGUGAAACCCUGUCUCUACUAAAAAUACAAAAAAUUAGCUAGGCAUGGUGGUGGGCACCUAUAGUCCCAGCUACUCAGGAGGCUAAGGCAGGAGAAUGGCGUGAACGCUGGAGGUGGAGCUUGCAGUGAGCCAAGAUCACGCCACUGCACUCCAGCCUGGGUGACAGAGCAAGACUCCGUCUCAAAAAAAACAAAAACAAAAAACAACCCAUGCAAGGAUGUGACGGUGGUCUGGCUGCAACAUCUGUCACCCCACUGAUCACCAGGGUUGAUUCGGCUGAUCUGGCUGGCUAGGUGGGUUUGCUUCCUGAGCCUCACCACUCCAUGUUCAUCCCUCCUGAAGCUGCAUGCUUGGUUGAAGAAGACAACCUUCCCCAGUAGAAGGCUUGUUUUUUUGUUUGUUUGUUUGUUUUUUUGAGGCAGAGUCUUGCUCUGUCACCCAGGCCGGAGUACAGUGGCACGAUCUCGACUCACUGCAACCUCCGCCUCCCAGGUUCAAGCGAUUCUCCUGCCUCAGCCUCCCAAGUAGCUGGGAUUAUAGGCACCCGCUGCCACACCUGGCUAAUUUUUUGUAUUUUAGUACAGACGGAGUUUCACCGUGUUUCCCAGGCUGGUCUCAAACUCCUGAGCUCAGGCAAUCCACCCACCUUGGCCUCCCAAAUUGCUAGGAUUGCAGGCAUGAGCCACCACACCCAGCCACUUUUCUUAAAAACACACACACAAACAAACAAAACUAUGUGAUCCUCCAGUUCUUUCUCCUCAGUGACCAACUUGAAGUCCAUAUGUUUAAGAUGGUAGGAAUGUAAGAUUGAAGGAGCUUUGAUCCCUGAGUCACUGAGCAAAGGAGUCCACCAAGGAAAGCCACUCAAAUUAUGCCAGACUGUAACAUGAAUGAGAAAUAGACAGUUGUAUGCAGCCCCUAAGAUUUGGAGAUUUGUUACUGCAGAAGAGCCUAGCCCAUCCUGACUAACACAGAAUAUAUAUUGGCUCUGCUGAGAAUCUCUGCAUGUUUUGGCAGUAUGUUUCUUUUCCCUUUUCCUCUUCAUAACUUGAAAAGAAUCUUUA